rnacentral:rRNA from 1 species
AGCGAACGCUGGCGGCAGGCCUAACACAUGCAAGUCGAACGCUCGUAGCAAUACGGGAGUGGCAGACGGGUGAGUAACGCGUGGGAACGUACCCUUUGGUUCGGGAUAACCCAGGGAAACUUGGGCUAAUACCGGAUACGUCCUGCAAGGGAGAAAGAUUGAUUUGCCGAAGGAUCGGCCCGCGUCCGAUUAGCUAGUUGGUGGGGUAAUGGCUCACCAAGGCGACGAUCGGUAGCUGGUCUGAGAGGAUGAUCAGCCACACUGGGACUGAGACACG